rnacentral:misc_RNA from 1 species
GGCUUAGUUGAAUUGAGUUGAGUUUACAUUCAUACUGAUAGAUUUGGUUUACAAAGAGUUCUUGUACUCCACAUUAAAAGGUGCAGUAUAUCACUGCCCAAACAAAGUGGUGAUCACCUAAGUGAGGGAAGGAACAAAUUGAUUAAAAGUAAUAUCAUAAUUGUGGAAUUUAAUAUGAAACAAUUUCUAUAUCUAUAAAUUAUUCAUGGGAGAUGAAUUAUUGUUAAUAGACAUCCAGCUUCUUUGAUAAGAAGGGAGAUGCUACCUAAAAGGGAAAACUAAAUUAAAAGGCGGGCCUCUUUAGUUAAAAUAUAUCAGAUAUAUUCCUAAUGAGAGUGAGUGAUAAAUGGCAUGGGAAUGAAGCAGACAUCCCUCACUAGAGGGAAAGAGUGCGAAGAUAUUUCAAUAACCAAUUCAAGGAAAAAGAAAUAUUUGGGACUCUUGGUUGCAAGAGAGUGGUUGAUGGAUGCUUAAAAAAAAAAAAAGAAAGAACGAAAGAAGCAAAUAUAAGUAGAUAGAGUAAAAAUAUAUGGCCUAACAGUAUACAUUAUUGUUAUCUAAGAAAACCUAGAUUAAUUCAAGAAGACAAAAAGGCAUACAUCUAACUAAACAAUGGGAAAGAGUGCAUGUAGCAGACAAUGUGAAUGAAAUGAG